rnacentral:lncRNA from 1 species
GUCAGGUUUGCCUUCCUUUCCAGCCCCCAAAAGAAAGGUUAUUAAAACCCGAGACUUCAGAGAAGGGGAAAGGAUUGUGUAAGAUCCAGGUGAAUGACAGACUGCUUAUCAGGUGGGAACAAAACCUGGUGAUAUAAACAAGAAAGCAGGCUCAGGCACACCAUACUUAUCCACACGAGUGCGGCAAGCCAUCAAGAUACAAACACAGACUAUCGCUGUACACUCUCCACUUAUCUAAAAUUAUCUCUUAAUGCAGGCUAGCUACAUGUAGAUUGCUUCUUGAGAAAUGUUGAUGAACUGUACCGACUCCUGAAUCAUGUCCAGACAUCAGUUUGUCCAGGGCAAAGCAGUGCCAGGAACCAAGGUACCAGUACCUUACAGCAAAAUCACACUAUGGAUUUUUUGGACUAAAUUCAGAAUGAAGCCAGAAAAUCCAGAACUCAGAACUUCUGGAAAAAAAAAGCUGGUAGUUUGCUGUCAGGAACCCCGUGUCAUGGUCUCUGGAGCGUGGUCAUGGUGAUGUGGACCAGUUUCCACUGUCCCCUGGACACUAGGACUUUAAUUUCUGACACGACCUUUCAAAGUGCAGCCUUGAAAUGAAGCUGUGGGAUUUUGGAUAGCUGCAGGCCAACUCUGUGGGACAGCUACACCUCUGACCGUGCACUCAGCCUUCAGUUCCACUGACUUCUCCCUGCACAAAUUUGUUUUACCUGUUUAGCACCUGUGUUACUCUAGAUAUUUACUCCUGCCAGAGACUUUACAGUUAUAUUUCUGAAAAACUAAAUGAUUUUGGAAUUUCUAAGCAAAAAGUAUUAAAUGGAAGCUUAUACAUGUUAUCGGUGUAGGUGAUUGUGGUUAC